UACGGAGGGAGCUAGCGUUGUUCGGAAUUACUGGGCGUAAAGCGCGCGUAGGCGGCUUUGUAAGUUAGAGGUGAAAGCCCGGGGCUCAACCCCGGAAUUGCCUUUAAGACUGCAUCGCUUGAAUCCGGGAGAGGUGAGUGGAAUUCCGAGUGUAGAGGUGAAAUGCGCAGAUAUCAGGAGGAACACCAAUGGCGAAGGCAGCUCGCUGGGACGGUACUGACGCUGAGACGCGAAAGCGUGGGGAGCAAACAGGAU
rnacentral:rRNA from 1 species